rnacentral:misc_RNA from 1 species
GAUGAAGAACGCAGCGAAAUGCGAUACGUAAUGUGAAUUGCAGAAUUCAGUGAAUCAUCGAAUCUUUGAACGCACAUUGCGCCCGCCAGUAUUCUGGCGGGCAUGCCUGUUCGAGCGUCAUUUCAACCAUCAAGCCCCCGGCUUGUGUUGGGGACCUGCGGCUGCCGCAGGCCCUGAAAACCAGUGGCGGGCUCGCUAGUCACUCCGAGCGUAGUAAUACAUCUCGCUCAGGGCGUGCUGCGGGUUCCGGCCGUUAAAAGCCUUAUUUACCCAAGGUUGACCUCGGAUCAGGUAGGAAGACCCGCUGAACUUAAGCAUAUCAAUAAGCGGAGGA